rnacentral:rRNA from 1 species
ACUCCUACGGGAGGCAGCAGUGGGAAUAUCGCACAAGUAGGGGCAACCGAUGAUGCAGCCAUGCCGCGUGUGUGAAGAAGGCCUUCGGGUUGAUGAAGCACUUUCAGUAGGGAGGAAGGUAGUGUAGUUAACACCUGCACUAUUUGACGUUACCUACAGAAGAAGCACCGGCUAACUCCGUGCCAGCAGCCGCGGUAAUACGGAGGGUGCGAGCGUUAAUCGGAAUUACUGGGCGUAAAGCGCAUGCAGGCGGCCUGUUAAGUCAGAUGUGAAAGCCCGGGGCUUAACCUCGGAAUUGCAUUUGAAACUGGCAGGCUAGAGUCUUGUAGA